rnacentral:lncRNA from 13 species
ACUUACAGUGCGUGAGUGUCCAAACGUAAUACAGCUGGUAUAACAUAAGUCUCCUAACCUGAAUGGUUAUCAACUUUAACAAUUAAUAUCUCGCUUUGCGAGGCAGGUGCUGCUUUUUUUCCGCCGGAUUUUUUUGUUUUGAGUGAAAACACGUCGAAUGAGUGUAUUUUUAUCAAAAUUUGAAACGAGUGUUAUAUAUAAUUAUCUUUUUAUCAAAAUUUGAGGUGAGGUGGUAGCUUGCGUAGAGAGACGAUUUCUAUGUAUUUACUUUCUAUAUAAUUACUCGGUUUAAAUUUUUAUGCUUUGAAGUAAUUUAUUCUUUCAUAUUUAUUAUUAUUAUUGUAAAAUUCUUUGUUCGGAGUGGUUAAGCAAAUGCUUCGAAGCAUUUGUAGCGUCAAGUGGAUCGCAGUCUACAUAAGAUAUGGGAAGAUGCUGUCUUUAAGACUUUCUUUUGGAAUAACUUAUUCAUCGUGUUACAAAAUUAAGUGACGACAAUUAAUAGAAUAUUCUUGAAACCUUUAUUUAUUCAUACAAAUAAAGUAAUUCAAACUUUGACGUUCAAGAUUUUUGAGAAAAAAAUUAGUAAAGUUUAUGUGUGUUAAAAAAACACAUAUUUUAUAUACACGGAAGCAUGUCCUUUUUUUACAGCUUUUUUACAGGGCACGUGCGCAGGUAUCUGAACAUCACAAUGAUAACAAGUCAUUGUACGUGCAAACGUACAUGCUAUGUGGUCAUUGUGCUAACAUUUGGAUGUAUAAAUGUAACAGGAGUUAAAAUUGGUCUUCGCUGAAUACGUCCUGUGAUCUGUCCGAUUCUUUGAAAACGCUACUUCUACGUUUAACGUUUUGAUCCAGAAUUUCAACUUAAUGGAUAAGGAAACAGUUCCAUGAUCGAAUUCUGGAAUAUACAUGAAAUCCUGGAAUAUACUGGAAUGUACACGAGCGGUGCCUCUAUCUUGCUGCCAAUAGUAAUGAAGUUUUCCUCGAAAAAGUCGGAGAUUGUUAGAAAUCUCCGACAGACUAUCAAGAGAUAGGUGCAGGGCAACCAGGAAGUACGCUGCUAGCAAUUCUCAGCAGGUCAUCUCGACAAAGAAAUAACAGCAAGGAAAUUUUCUUUUAUCAGUGGCAAGUCUCGUAAACAAAUUUGAGAUAAAAAUUUUAAGGUAAAAUCUUGAUCUUGACAAUGAAGAGAAUGCUGAAUUAUAUACAAGGAGGACAUUAAACUUUAGAGAACGGGGUAGUUAUCAAUUUCUAUACACAGAAAAGAAUUGAGGUCAAAUAAACGAUUUAUUGUUUCAUAUAUAAGCAAGAACAUAAAAUCGUAAAUAGAUAUAAUUUGCUAACA